UCCUUUCUUUCUCUUUAGCCUUUUUCGAAUCUGAAAAAGAAUUGAGACUUAGGUCCAUGCUUCUUUUUCUUCCCCACCUACAAAUUUUCUGAUUCUCAUCACUUUACUUUGGUGAAGCUACAAAUCGUUUUCAUUGUUAUCGCAUCCAUUGACUGACUCAUCAUUUGCCUGCGCCAAACUUCUAAAUCAGUUCCAAAGCUUCUCAACUUUAUCCUCUCACUAUUUAUCUUGCUGUAUCGAUUCUUAAAGAGAUUUUCUUUGUUGUUCUAGGCACAAGAAGAUCUGCGGAGAUUUAUAUGCUUCCUUCUCAAUGAGUACACUUACCCUUUAUCCUUCACUAAUAAUUAUGAUUCAGAACCAAGUCGCCUUGGUCCAGUGGUAAAUGGAGGUAAGUCUCGCCACCUGAGUUUUUGUAGCAAUAAUUAUUUGGGUUCGAGAUUUUAACAUAAUUUUUUCCGGCACCAGAGAUUAGUCUUUCCCUUUAGAAAACUUUUAAGUUAUCAAAAUAAUAACAAUAAUAAUAAUAAUAAUAAUAAGGUGUUUGAAUAUUCAUAGUAAAUUUGAUUUAAAGUAAUAUUGAUAAUAUGCAACUUCCAUUACUUUUGUACUGUAAUCGUUUCUUUCAGUUUGAUUUUUCCAGGUGUUUCUUCUUACACUCUUUUGUGUACCGGUUUAAUGAAUAAGGUUUACAAGUUAGUGUUUUCUUCUCUGAGUGGAUUUGAUGAAUUGAUAUUUUUCUACAAAUUGUAAAAAGCUAGAAAUUGCAAACAUUAGGAGAUCGUACUUGGAAGUAAACAUCAACUCCAAACUCGGGGACAACCUUUUUUUUGUUGGAAACAUGGUAUUAACUCGACCCCCAUGUCUUUAAACUUGCAUUUUUCUUCGUCUCCAUGUAUUAUGCAUUGCUUGAUUUAACACUUUCUUUUUCCUUCUAUCUCUUUUUGGCCAGUUUUGGUUGAUGAGCUUCAAUCAUGAGGCAAAUCACUGGUUCUUCUCUUUUUCUUUUUUUUACUUAUUUGUCAUUCAAAGCAUUUAAUCAGCAACCUUAAUAUUUAAAUAUGAUAAUAUAAAGAAAUAAAAUGUGAGGUGUUAGUUUAAGAUAAGGCACACAGAAAAGUGAGAAAAUAAAGAUAUAUAUUUCUCAUCUAAACGAGUGAGAUUUUUUUUUCUUUUGUGUUUGUUCCAAAAGCUAUAUGUACGAGACAGUAUACAUUUUUUUCUACUGAAUCAACUCAUGUCCUAAAAUAUUUGUGUAUUAAAUUUAUUUUAGUCGCUAAAGAUCUUAUCGAUCAUCAUGAAUAGAGCUUCCAGCAAAUCCAUAGAGAGAAGAGAAUGGAGAAUUAAGAGUUGGUAUCAGAUGAGCGGGACAUCAACAAGGCCACAUACCGUCUAGAGUAAUAUCAACACAUAAGCACCAUGGAGUCAUCGGUUUUUCUGUGCAUGUCUUUAGUAACAAAUAAUGUAUGCUCAUUUUGGUCUAUAACCCGUAGGUAACUCAAUUACUACAUAAAUUCUUAUAACUUUUAUUCAAUUGAAAUAUCGCUGAUUAAAUUAGUUACUUCAAGAAAUAUAUCUUGAUUCUUGAUAUAUUACCAGGUUAAACCAAAUUGUUGUCAGCUACGAUAAAUUGUAGCUACAUUAAAAAACAAAUUCAAUGUCAGUUCAAGAUUUAUGAUGCGAUAUAAGGGUGAAAAGUUUUAUGAAAUAAGGAACAAUGGGAUGAGCACGCAUCAUUUCUUAGGCGGUGACUCGAUCCAAAAGCUCCUAAGAGGUCGGGCAUAGUUCUUUCUGCAUCGGCUUUAUCUUUGUAAGUUUUGGUUUCUCCUUACGGUACUUGUCUUCAUCAAACGAGUAGGAUACACAACUCUUGCACUUUAAACUAUGCUUUGCAAAGUACAAACUAUUACCCAUCCCUAGAAUAUCCAGUCUCGUCUCUAAGGGGUACAUACUUGAAAAGGUCCUCAAGAUUAGUACUACUCAUCUCCUCCCUAUUCAAGACAAGUUUAUACACUAGUGGCUUCUCAUUGUUGCAUGUAUACAUGAGAAAGAGGCCAUUUAAAUUCUCUUUGACAUAUUAAACCAUUCAUCAUUAUGAAUAUAAGGCACCUAUGCUCAGUCCAUGCUUGAUGACUCACUGUGCAGGAAAUUAGAUCUACUUCAGCUAAAAUACCUCUCGAUUUGAACCAUUAAUAAAAGUGACCAUUGGCAUAGACAAGAUUGCUAUGAAUAUUAGGGUCAAAUCCAAGAGGGUAAGAAAAAUAUGGAUUGAUUCACUCAGUUUCUCCAGGAUAGCAAAUGCUUAUACGAAGAUAUAUCAUGUAAAAUGUCUAAGACGCUAUUGGCACAAAAGUAGCAGAUGUAGGUGCCGAAGAGAAAGCAAUGGCCUGGAAGUAACGGCUUUACGCAAUGUCUAAGAUAUAGCGAAAGCACGAAUGUCAUUAAACAACUGUCUUUUUAGACCAUUGAAAUCUAUUUGGCCCUUGCAUCAAGUACUGGUGCGGUACUAGCGUUAAGACCUUUUACAAGAUUUCUCGUUUGUAUAAGCAUUUGCUAUCCUGGAACAGUUGAGUUGAUUACUCAAGAUAUUUCUUGCUCGUGAAUUUGACAGGAAUGACCAUAGCAACCUUGUAUAUGCAAAUGGUCUCUUUUAUUGCUUUAGCUCAGGAAGUGUUUUAGUUGACAUUCAUCUAGGUUCCUACACAGUGAGUCAUAGAGGAUGAAGUGAGUGUAGGUGCCCUUUUAUUUAUAAUGAUGAAUGGUUAAUAUGUUGAAGAGAAGUUUACUUGACUAAGUAGAAUGGAUAGCUUUUUCUUAUUUAUACAUGUAGCAGUGAGAACCCACUGGUGUGUAAACUUUAAUUUUCUCCUUGAAUUGAGAGGGCAUGAAUAGUAUUAGCUACUCUUGACGUGGUGACAAUCUUUGCAAGAAUGUAUUUCUCAGAGACGAGAUUCGAUAUUUUAUGGAUCAAGAACAUUGUGUAUUUCCCAAAGUGUGGCUUUAAGUGCAAGAUUCUUGCAUCCUACUCGUUCGAUGAAGGCAUGUAUCAUGUGAGUUCGCAAACGUUACAAAAAGAUGGCAGAAGUAGAAAGAAACGUGCCCUCUUAGGAGUCUUUCGAUAGAGACAUCUCCUAGUAACGUUUUUAAUUUGACGAAAAAAUCAUAAGCAAACUGAAUCUGAACUAG